rnacentral:rRNA from 1 species
GGACUACCCGGGUAUCUAAUCCCGUUCGCUACCCUGGCUUUCGCGCCUCAGCGUCAGGAGGGAUCCAGCAGCUCGCUUUCGCCACCGGCGUUCCUUCCGAUAUCUACGCAUUUCACCGCUCCACCGAAAGUUCCAGCUGCCCCUAUCCCGCUCGAGGCACCCAGUCUCAAAGGCACUUCCCCGGUUGGGCCGGGGGAUUUCACCCCUGACUUGGGUGCCCGCCUACGCGCCCUUUAAGCCCAGUGAAUCCGAACAACGUUCGCACGGUUCGUCUUACCGCGGCUGCUGGCAC